rnacentral:rRNA from 1 species
UACAGAGGUCCCAAGCGUUGUUCGGAUUCACUGGGCGUAAAGGGUGCGCAGGCGGUCGGGUAAGUCUGACGUGAAAUCUCCAAGCUCAACUUGGAAAUGGCGUCGGAUACUAUUCGGCUGGAGGAAUGGAGGGGAGACUGGAAUUUACGGUGUAGCAGUGAAAUGCGUAGAUAUCGUAAGGAAGACCAGUGGCGAAGGCGAGUCUCUGGACAGUUACUGACGCUGAGGCACGAAGGCCAGGGGAGCAAACGGG